GGGCGGAUAGCUCAGUUGGUUAGAGCGCCUGCCUUACAAGCAGGAUGUCGGGGGUUCGAGUCCCUCUCUGCCCACCA
rnacentral:tRNA from 8 species